rnacentral:rRNA from 1 species
AAUCCAUAGGUUAAUGAGGCGAACCGGGGGAACUGAAACAUCUAAGUACCCCGAGGAAAAGAAAUCAACCGAGAUUCCCCCAGUAGCGGCGAGCGAACGGGGAGGAGCCCAGAGCCUGAAUCAGCAUGUGUGUUAGUGGAAGCGUCUGGAAAGGCGCGCGAUACAGGGUGACAGCCCCGUACACAAAAGCGCAUGUGCUGUGAGCUCGAUGAGUAGGGCGGGACACGUGGUAUCCUGUCUGAAUAUGGGGGGACCAUCCUCCAAGGCUAAAUACUCCUGACUGACCGAUAGUGAACCAGUACCGUGAGGGAAAGGCGAAAAGAACCCCGGCGAGGGGAGUGAAAAAGAACCUGAAACCGUGUACGUACAAGCAGUGGGAGCACCCUUUGGGGUGUGACUGCGUACCUUUUGUAUAAUGGGUCAGCGACUUAUAUUCUGUAGCAAGGUUAACCGAAUAGGGGAGCCGGAGGGAAACCGAGUCUUAACCGGGCGUUAAGUUGCAGGGUAUAGACCCGAAACCCGGUGAUCUAGCCAUGGGCAGGUUGAAGGUUGGGUAACACUAACUGGAGGACCGAACCGACUAAUGUUGAAAAAUUAGCGGAUGACCUGUGGCUGGGGGUGAAAGGCCAAUCAAACCGGGAGAUAGCUGGUUCUCCCCGAAAGCUAUUUAGGUAGCGCCUCGUGAAUUCAUCUCCGGGGGUAGAGCACUGUUUCGGCUAGGGGGCCAUCCCGGCUUACCAACCCGAUGCAAACUGCGAAUACCGGAGAAUGUUAUCACGGGAGACACACGGCGGGUGCUAACGUCCGUCGUGAAGAGGGAAACAACCCAGACCGCCAGCUAAGGUCCCAAAGUCAUGGUUAAGUGGGAAACGAUGUGGGAAGGCCCAGACAGCCAGGAUGUUGGCUUAGAAGCAGCCAUCAUUUAAAGAAAGCGUAAUAGCUCACUGGUCGAGUCGGCCUGCGCGGAAGAUGUAACGGGGCUAAACCAUGCACCGAAGCUGCGGCAGCGACACUCAGGUGUUGUUGGGUAGGGGAGCGUUCUGUAAGCCUGUGAAGGUGGCCUGUGAGGGUUGCUGGAGGUAUCAGAAGUGCGAAUGCUGACAUAAGUAACGAUAAAGCGGGUGAAAAGCCCGCUCGCCGGAAGACCAAGGGUUCCUGUCCAACGUUAAUCGGGGCAGGGUGAGUCGACCCCUAAGGCGAGGCCGAAAGGCGUAGUCGAUGGGAAACGGGUUA